rnacentral:rRNA from 1 species
GAUGAACGCUGGCGGCGUGCUUAACACAUGCAAGUCGAACGGAAAGGCUCCUGCUUGCAGGGGUACUCGAGUGGCGAACGGGUGAGUAACACGUGGGUGAUCUGCCCUGCACUUCGGGAUAAGCCUGGGAAACUGGGUCUAAUACCGGAUAGGACGAUGGUUUGGAUGCCAUUGUGGAAAGUUUUUCGGUGUGGGAUGAGCUCGCGGCCUAUCAGCUUGUUGGUGGGGUAAUGGCCUACCAAGGCGUCGACGGGUAGCCGGCCUGAGAGGGUGUACGGCCACAUUGGGACUGAGAUACGGCUCAGACUCCUACGGGAGGCAGCAGUGGGGAAUAUUGCACAAUGGGCGCAAGCCUGAUGCAGCGACGCCGCGUGGGGGAUGACGGCCUUCGGGCUGUAAACUCCUUUCGCUAGGGACGAAGCGUUUUGUGACGGUACCUGGAGAAGAAGCACCGGCUAACUACGUG